UCGGGAAUUUUGCUCAAUGGGCGAAAGCCUGAAGCAGCAACGCCGCGUGAGGGAUGAAGGCCUUCGGGUUGUAAACCUCUUUUCUCAGGGAAGAUGAUGACGGUACCUGAGGAAUAAGCCACGGCUAACUACGUGCCAGCAGCCGCGGUAAUACGUAGGUGGCAAGCGUUGUCCGGAUUUACUGGGCGUAAAGAGCGCGCAGGCGGCCGAAUAAGUCGAAUGUGAAAGCCCCCGGCUCAACUGGGGAUGGUCAUUCGAUACUGUUCGGCUUGAAGAUAGGAGAGGGAAGCGGAAUUUCAGGUGUAGUGGUGAAAUGCGUAGAUAUCUGAAGGAACACCAGUGGCGAAGGCGGCUUUCUGGCCUAUUCUUGACGCUGAGGCGCGAAAGCUAGGGGAGCGAACGGGAUUAGAUACCCCCGUAGUCC
rnacentral:rRNA from 1 species